UCUUUAAUAAGCUAAACAAAGCUAUUGGACUCAUAAUCCAAAAAUGAUCUUUAUUUUCUUAAAGAA
rnacentral:tRNA from 1 species